AGUGUGAAUUUAAAUUGAGGUCCCAACUGCAACAUGUAUUUACAUCUGUUUUCAAUUCUGAAGACACAGACGACAACAAAGCCCACUCUGCACAUCAGCAUACGAACGCUUCUGCAUGCAAAUUCAGUCUUCAGAGUUGAGCAGGAAACCCCUGACAGCAUUUAGCAACAAGGAGCUGAAUCAACAUUUGGUUGCUCUUUUUUUUGUAAAAGAAUAUUGAACCAGUCUCUGAACUUCAGAGGAAGCUUAGUAUUUGAUGUUUUAAUUUCACUGUUGCACUCUGCUUUUCUCUUUGAUUUAAACCAACUGAACAAUAAACAGGAAAACGCAGCCAGGCAUGGAAAACAGAA